rnacentral:rRNA from 1 species
UACAGAGGUCCCAAGCGUUGUUCGGAUUCAUUGGGCGUAAAGGGUGUGUAGGUGGCGCCGUAAGUCGGGUGUGAAAUCUCGGGGCUUAACUCCGAAACUGCAUUCGAUACUGCGGUGCUUGAGGACUGGAGAGGAGACUGGAAUUCAUGGUGUAGCAGUGAAAUGCGUAGAGAUCGUAAGGAAGGCCAGUGGCGAAGGCGAGUUCCUGGACAGUGACUGACGCUGAGGCACGAAGGCCAGGGGAGCAAACGGG